rnacentral:ncRNA from 1 species
CUCUUCCUAUCAUUGUGAAGCAGAAUUCGCCAAGCGUUGGAUUGUUCACCCACCAACAGUGAACUUGACCUGGGAUUAGACCGUCGUGAGACAAGUU